GUGCUCACUUCGGCAGCACAUAUUACUAAAAUAGGAAUGAUACAGAGAAGAUUAGCACGGUCCCUGUGCAGGGAUGACACGCAAAUUUGUGAAGCGUUCCACACUUUU